rnacentral:rRNA from 1 species
CGAACGGGUUGGCUUAAUCAUGUCAGUCGAACGGUGAACCAGGGGCUUGCCUCUGGGGAUCAGUGGCGAACGGGUGAGUAACACGUGAGCAACCUGCCCCGAUCUCUGGGAUAAGCGCUGGAAACGGCGUCUAAUACUGGAUAUGAGCUUCCAUCGCAUGGUGGGGGUUGGAAAGAUUUUUCGGUUCGGGAUGGGCUCGCGGCCUAUCAGCUUGUUGGUGAGGUAAUGGCUCACCAAGGCGUCGACGGGUAGCCGGCCUGAGAGGGUGACCGGCCACACUGGGACUGAGACACGGCCCAGACUCCUACGGGAGGCAGCAGUGGGGAAUAUUGCACAAUGGGCGCAAGCCUGAUGCAGCAACGCCGCGUGAGGGAUGACGGCCUUCGGGUUGUAAACCUCUUUUAGCAGGGAAGAAGCGAUAGUGACGGUACCUGCAGAAAAAGCGCCGGCUAACUACGUGCCAGCAGCCGCGGUAAUACGUAGGGCGCAAGCGUUAUCCGGAAUUAUUGGGCGUAAAGAGCUCGUAGGCGGUUUGUCGCGUCUGCUGUGAAAACCCGAGGCUCAACCUCGGGCCUGCAGUGGGUACGGGCAGACUAGAGUGCGGUAGGGGAGAUUGGAAUUCCUGGUGUAGCGGUGGAAUGCGCAGAUAUCAGGAGGAACACCGAUGGCGAAGGCAGAUCUCUGGGCCGUAACUGACGCUGAGGAGCGAAAGGGUGGGGAGCAAACAGGCUUAGAUACCCUGGUAGUCCACCCCGUAAACGUUGGGAACUAGUUGUGGGGUCCUUUCCACGGAUUCCGUGACGCAGCUAACGCAUUAAGUCCUCCGUCUGGGGGAGUACGGGCCGCAAGGCUAAACUCAAAGGAAUUUGACCGGGGACCCGCACAAGCGGCGGGAGCAUGCCGAUAAUUCCGAUGCAACGCCGAAGAACCUUACCUAGGCUGACAUU